rnacentral:tRNA from 1 species
AAUUAAUGAGCUUGUUUUAAGCUUUUGUUUUGAAAACUUAAGAAAGAAAUAUAUAUAUUUUCUAUUAAUUU